UACAGAGGUCUCGAGCGUUGUUCGGAUUCAUUGGGCGUAAAGGGUGCGUAGGUGGCGCUGUAAGUCGGGUGUGAAAUCCUGAGGCUCAACCUCGGAACUGCAUUCGAUACUGCGGCGCUUGAGGACUGGAGAGGAGACUGGAAUUUACGGUGUAGCGGUGAAAUGCGUAGAUAUCGUAAGGAAGACCAGUGGCGAAGGCGGGUCUCUGGACAGUUCCUGACGCUGAGGCACGAAGGUCAGGGGAGCAAACGGG
rnacentral:rRNA from 1 species